rnacentral:rRNA from 1 species
UACGUAGGGUGCAAGCGUUAAUCGGAAUUACUGGGCGUAAAGCGUGCGCAGGCGGCUCUGCAAGACAGAUGUGAAAUCCCCGGGCUCAACCUGGGAACUGCAUUUGUGACUGCAAGGCUAGAGUACGGCAGAGGGGGAUGGAAUUCCGCGUGUAGCAGUGAAAUGCGUAGAUAUGCGGAGGAACACCGAUGGCGAAGGCAAUCCCCUGGGCCUGUACUGACGCUCAUGCACGAAAGCGUGGGGAGCAAACAGG